GUUUUUUAUCAAAAAAACAGGAAGAGUUACUUCCAUUCCAUUUGGUCAGCAAGCCAUGCAACAAUAAUUGGUAAGAUCAAGACAUGGCCUGCUAGUUGUUCCCCCUUGAGUUAUGUAGGCCAUGAUCAAGUUUAAGAACAUAUUUUCUAAUCCUUGAAAAAGUCUAUCAUGAGACUCAAAAAGGAGCAUGUAUAUGAAAGCACAGGAACACUCCUAGAUCAGAAAUAUUUACUUGUUAUGCACGAUAUACAGUGCAACCUCAUAACAUCAUUUAGCUAGAUUCUGAAGGAUCCCCGGUUAUGGUUCAUGAU
rnacentral:misc_RNA from 1 species